rnacentral:rRNA from 1 species
UGGGGCCCAGAUCGUUUACCGUGAAAAAAUUAGAGUGUUCAAAGCAGGCAGAUCCAAUUUUCUGCCACCGAAUACAUUAGCAUGGGAUAAGGGAAUAGGACCCUGUCCUCCUAUUUUCAGUUGGUUUUGGCAGCGCGAGGGUUAGGGUAAUGAUUAAUAGGGAUAGUUGGGGGCACUAAUAUUUAAUUGUCAGAGGUGAAAUUCUUGGAUUUAUGAAAGAUUAACUUUUGCGAAAGCAUCUGCCAAGGAAGUUUUCAUUAAUCAAGAACGAAAGUUAGGGGAUCGAAGACGAUCAGAUACCGUCGUAGUCUUAACCAUAAACGAUGCCGACCAGCGAUUAGGAGACGUUGAAUACAAAACACCACCAUCGGUGCGGUCGUCCUUGGCGCGUUGGUCUUUCAAAAGCCAGGCGCGGGGGCGGCUUAGCCCGGUGGCACCGGUGAAU